GAUGAACGCUGGCGGCGUGCCUAAUACAUGCAAGUCGAGCGAACAGACGAGGAGCUUGCUCCUCUCACGUUAGCGGCGGACGGGUGAGUAACACGUGGAUAACCUACCUAUAAGACUGGGAUAACUUCGGGAAACCGGAGCUAAUACCGGAUAAUAUAUUGCACCGCAUGGUUGGAUAGUGAGAUACGGUUUUGCUGUCACUAAUAGCUGGAUCCGCGCCGCAUUGGCUGGUUGGUAAGGUAACGGCUUACCAAGGCAACGAUGCGUAGCCGACCGGAGAGGGUGAUCGGCCACACUGGAGCUUAGACACGGUCCAGACUCCUACGGGAGGCCGCAGUAGGGAAUCGUCCGCAAUAGGCGAAGGCUUGACGGAGCAACGCCGAGUGAGUGAUGAAGGUCUUCGGAUCGUAAAACUCUGUUAUUAGGGAAGAACAAAUGUGUAAGUAACUAUGCACGUCUUGACGGUACCUAAUCAGAAAGCCACGGCUAACUACGUG
rnacentral:rRNA from 1 species